GCCGGCAGGGGGCGCCGCCAGUCCGGGUCGCGAGGGGGUAAAUGGAAUCAGUCCGGGUCCGCCAGUCCGGCAGGGGGCACCGUGGCAUACCAGGACAGUGCUUCGAGAGGACGGCGAUCAAGUGCAGUGCAGGUCCGACCACACGAUGUGCCUGACCAUCUGCCUGGAAAAGAAGUGAAUAAAAUGCGAUUCAUGAGUGUUAUUUUAUUCUGUAAUAUUAUGCAAACACUUUAAUUUCGAUGGCCAGUCCUUUUGUGGAGAUGGAAACCAGUAACUUAGGUGCUUAAAUGUUGGUGCAAUGAACAAGUACUUUAUGUUGUUAUUUGUUACUGUGAAUUGUUGCUCUAAUGUAUGCAAAUAUAAUGUUGUGUUGCU